UCUGAAUAUAAAUUCCAAAACACAAAGAAGUUUCAGCGUGAAAGAUACCUUACUUACAUUAAGGACUCAACCUCAUAAACACCUAAUAAGGAUAUUCUAUUUUGCCAAGAGGAGAAAUUCAGAAGGACAGAAGAAUGGCAAGAAAAGUGGUGGCCGAUCUUGGGAAAAUGGGAGAAAAGCAAGAAGUAAGUCAGAAGGAACAUAUACAUGGAAAAAUAAAGCCCCUUCAGCUUUUUUAUGCUUACUGCUUUCAUGAUUUUCGUGAGUUGGACGUAAUACAACCACUGAUGAUGCUAUCACCACAGUCAAGGAAAGAAACAUAUCCAUCAUCUCCAAAAGAUUUCAAACAGAUCUUAAAGCAACAGAGAUAAGUGAUUAUCUGAUAGAAAGUUCAAAAUAACAGUUAUAAAGAUGCUCAGCAAGACUCGGAGAGCAAUGUAUGUAUGAAUGAAAUGAGAAUUUCAACAGGAGAAGAAAAUAUACAAAUGUCCUAAACAGACCUGAAGAAUUAAAACCAAAAUAAAAGUCCCUUGCUAUUAUUGUA